AGCUGACUUUGAAAUAGCUUUUGCACCUGUGUCUCUUCUCAUCCCCAGCACCCUCAAGGCUCAGACUGGAUGAUCUCAACUUUUCUGCAGGUAGAAUCCUCCCUCAUCUCUCUGCACAACCUAUGGGAGAUUCUCUCUGGAACACUAAAAGAUACAGUGGGCCCUGUUGCUUAGAGACCGAAGCUAUUUAGUUAUCACACCCAAUUUUCUCAUGCUCAGAUUACAGUUUGUUAUUAUGGGGAAGUCAAGGCAUCUAGUGACAUCCCAGAAUAAACAUUCUUAUUCAAAAAUCAAAGAACUGGAGCAUGAAAUACUCACACUAAAAUAAACUUCUGGGCCCUAAAGGAUUUGAGGAGCCCCUCCCCUCCAGCUAGUAACCUUCUUAUUCAGAAGGGCCUGUCCCAGUGAAGGAGGUCCCAUGAGUGUGGUGCUGACGUCUUUGAUGAUUGUGGCAGCUUCUUCAGCCACAGAAUGAUCAACACACACAGGUUCUUAGCCAAAA